rnacentral:lncRNA from 1 species
AUGGCUCAACCAUGCCCCUAGCUCAUCACGUACUUCACCAGAUAUUAGUAAAUAGCAACUAUAGCCACACUAUAUUAGGCAUCUCACAUCACCAAGCAAUUAUUCAGGGGAGACUUGGAUGGACGGUGAUAACCAUAAGAGGUAUGCGGGGCAGGUAUGCUGGAAUAAACGCGUCGUCGAGAACAUAACUAUUGACAUUGUCAAGACCCUGAGAAUAAUACUGCCCUUGCUAGUGUGAUAAGAAUAAUCAUAUUCCUGCUGGGGUGGUCACGGGUACGAUCUCACUCGCCCUUGAUCGUAA